AUGGGUGAGGAUGGAAAUACAAGCACCUUCAACAUCUCCUGCACCAAGUUCUUCCUGGUGGGUUUCCCUGGACUUCGAGAGUGGUGGCCCCUUCUGGUCCUGCCUCUUGUCUUCCUCUUUGUGACCAUCAUCUCUGCCAAUGCCCUGGUCAUCCACACAGUGGUUGCCCGGCAAAAUCUGCAUCAGCCUACGUGUAUGCUCAUCACUGUGCUCCUGGCUGUCAAUAUUCGUGCUGCCACAGCCGUGAUGCCUAAAAUGCUGGAGGGCUUUGUAUAUUAUGCUAACCCCAUAUCGCUGCAUGGCCGCCUGGCCUAGGUGUUCUUUAUCUACUUCACCCUCCUCCUGGACUACAACUUCCUCUGGCCAUGGCCCUGGACUGCUACGUGGCCAUCUGCCACCCACUCUGCUAUUCUGACCUGAUGACCUCCCAGCUGCUGGGACUGCUGGCCAUUCUUGCCUUGACACAGAGCCUGGGAGUGGCAGUGCCCUUGGUAGUGCUAACUGCAAAAGCCCGAUUCUGCCGGACAGUAGUGAUUCGACACUUCACCUGUGAGUGCAUUGCACUGCUGAGCAUAGCUUGUGGAGACCUGACCUUCAACAACUGGCUGGGGCUGGCUAUGUGGUUGGUCACUGUAACCUCUGAUAUGGCCCUGCUGGGGACCUCCUACAGCCACAUCAUCUAUGCUGCCUUCCGGAUCUCUUCUUGGGGAGCCCAAGCCAAGGCCUUACACAUGUGUGGCUCCCACCUACUGGUCAUCCUCUCCAUCUACGUCUCUGGUCUUUCCACUUCCAUCACCUUCUGAGUAGCCAAGACUGUGUCCCAGAAUGUCCAGAAUCUACUCAGUGCCAUAUACUUGCUGCUUCCAGGAGCCUUGAAUCCUGUCAUUUAUGGGGUGAGGACUAGGGAGAUCCAGCAACAUGUAGAAAAGAUGCUCUGUGAAAAGGAAACAGCCCAGAAGGCUGGGGAGAAGCCAAAGAGGCUGCAGAACAUGAGACUGGAAACCGCCAGGGUGA
rnacentral:sRNA from 1 species